CGUGACUUAGUGGUUGGAGCAUUCCACUCACGAUCGUAAGGUCGUGAAAGCAAUUCCCAGCAACGCGUUCUUUCCUUGAGCAAGACAAUUUAUUUCACGUUGCUCCAAUCCACUCAGCUGUCAAAAAGAGUUGUAUUUGUAAUUCAAUGGG